UAAAAACAUAAAUAAUUAACAUUAACUGAAAAUAUAAAUUUGUUCAUGGGGGACAAAACACCCCAAUAGUACAACACCAAAAUCAAGAUACAAAAUCCGAAAAUACAAAUAGAAAUGACAUAAAAGCUGAAAAAAUACAAAAACUUAACCCACUAAGGGCUCAGGACUCCUCCUCGCUACCGGCCUCAGAACCGGUAGCCUCAUCAUCAACAUCAUCAU
rnacentral:lncRNA from 1 species